GUGGGGAAUAUUGCACAAUGGGGGAAACCCUGAUGCAGCAACGCCGCGUGAAGGAUGACGGUUUUCGGAUUGUAAACUUCUUUUCUUAGUGACGAAGACAGUGACGGUAGCUAAGGAAUAAGCAUCGGCUAACUACGUGCCAGCAGCCGCGGUAAUACGUAGGAUGCAAGCGUUAUCCGGAUUUACUGGGUGUAAAGGGAGCGCAGGCGGGACUGCAAGUUGGAUGUGAAAUACCGUGGCUUAACCACGGAACUGCAUCCAAAACUGUAGUUCUUGAGUGAAGUAGAGGCAAGCGGAAUUCCGAGUGUAGCGGUGAAAUGCGUAGAUAUUCGGAGGAACACCAGUGGCGAAGGCGGCUUGCUGGGCUUUAACUGACGCUGAGGCUCGAAAGUGUGGGGAGCAAACAGGAUUAGAAACCCCAGUAGUCC
rnacentral:rRNA from 1 species